rnacentral:rRNA from 1 species
AUGAACGCUAGCUACAGGCUUAACACAUGCACGUCGCGGGGAAACGACAUCGAAAGCUUGCUUUUGAUGGGCGUCGACCGGCGCACGGGUGAGUAACGCGUAUCCAACCUGCCCAUCACUUGGGAAUAACCUUGCGAAAGUAAGACUAAUACCCAAUGAUAUCCCACGAAGGCAUCGGAAUGGGAUUAAAGAUUUAUCGGUGAUGGAUGGGGAUGCGUCUGAUUAGCUUGUUGGCGGGGUAACGGCCCACCAAGGCAACGAUCAGUAGGGGUUCUGAGAGGAAGGUCCCCCACAUUGGAACUGAGACACGGUCCAAACUCCUACGGGAGGCAGCAGUGAGGAAUAUUGGUCAAUGGGCGAGAGCCUGAACCAGCCAAGUAGCGUGCAGGAAGACGGCCCUAUGGGUUGUAAACUGCUUUUAUAAGGGAAUAAAGUGGGUCACGUGUGACUUUUUGCAUGUACCUUAUGAAUAAGGACCGGCUAAUUCCGUG